CCUACGGGAGGCAGCAGUGGGGAAUAUUGCACAAUGGGCGCAAGCCUGAUGCAGCAACGCCGCGUGAGGGACGACGGCCUUCGGGUUGUAAACCUCUUUUAGUAGGGAAGAAGCGAAAGUGACGGUACCUGCAGAAAAAGCACCGGCUAACUACGUGCCAGCAGCCGCGGUAAUACGUAGGGUGCAAGCGUUAUCCGGAAUUAUUGGGCGUAAAGAGCUCGUAGGCGGUUUGUCGCGUCUGCUGUGAAAACUGGAGGCUCAACCUCCAGCCUGCAGUGGGUACGGGCAGACUAGAGUGCGGUAGGGGAGAUUGGAAUUCCUGGUGUAGCGGUGGAAUGCGCAGAUAUCAGGAGGAACACCGAUGGCGAAGGCAGAUCUCUGGGCCGUAACUGACGCUGAGGAGCGAAAGCAUGGGGAGCGAACAGGAUUAGAUACCCUGGUAGUCCAUGCCGUAAACGUUGGGAACUAGAUGUAGGGACCAUUCCACGGUUUCUGUGUCGCAGCUAACGCAUUAAGUUCCCCGCCUGGGGAGUACGGCCGCAAGGCUAAAACUUAAGGAAUUGACGG
rnacentral:rRNA from 1 species